UACAUGUGGUGCAAACGUUGCUCGGAAUUAUUGGGCGUACAGCGCACGUAGGUGGUUUGUUAUGUCAGAUGUGAAAGCCCUCGGCUUAACUGAGGAAGUGCACCUGAAACUGGCAAGCUUGAGUACGAAAGAGGGUCGCGGAAUUCCCGGUGUAGAGGUGAAAUUCGGAGAUAUCGGGAGGAACACCGGUGGCGAAGGCGGCGACCUGGUUCGAUACUGACACUGAGGUGCGAAAUCGUGGGGAGCAAACAGG
rnacentral:rRNA from 1 species